rnacentral:sRNA from 1 species
UCCCUUACGCGACCCGUGUUGUUGCCCAC